rnacentral:lncRNA from 1 species
UGGCUAAAGACAGUGGGCUCAAAUGGCCCAGAUACAAAAUUAACCCUAGCCUAGCCCACGAACUCAACAUCUUUCAACUAGGGGAAAACCCUAAGGCGUCGCACGUUCUGUCGGCCUCCCUUGCGCAUGCUACCACCACGCGUCUAACACCUCUAUCACCUGCAACACAACUGCAAGAAAACAACAAAACAGAAACGACAAACGUACAAUCCAAAGCACAAAACGACAAAAGAAGAGAGAUUUAGUCUUUUUAAAUCGGCUAUAAAAGGCCGAAUAGGGCGAUUGUAUUUGUUUCUUUUGGAUUUUUUGACGAAAACAUCAGAAAUCAAAAAUAAAAAGGUUGUUGUUCUUGUUCUUCGUUUUCUUCUUUGUCGAUUCAUUUGUUUAUUUUUUUUUACGAAUCAUUUUUUUAAAAAACUAUUAAUAAAUAAAGGGUAAAAAGGGGAAAAAGGGGAUUACCGGAGAUACCUCGCGACCGCGCCGUCGGUGGGUGGUUCUCCGUCGUUGGCCCGGAUCCGAAAGGGGGAUUAUGAGCCCCUGUCUCGGCGCUCAUAAGGGUUCAAAGACUCGACUUUUCAAAUUGCCCGAAAGUCGGGCUUUAAAAGCCCUUUGUCGUGCUUCGUCGGCCGUCGGUUUAGUGGCGGUGUGGGGGAUGAACGAGCGGAGGUGAGAAGCCCGACCGUCGGAAGAAAUGGGGGGCCUUCAAAGAGCCUCCCAGUUUUUUUUC